UACGGAGGAUGCGAGCGUUAUCCGGAUUCACUGGGUUUAAAGGGUGCGCAGGCGGCUCGGCAAGUCAGCGGUGAAGGCCCGGGGCCCAACCCCGGAGUGCCGUUGAUACUGUCGGGCUGGAAUGCGGUCGAGGCGGACGGAACGUGGCGUGUAGCGGUGAAAUGCGUAGAUAUGCCACAGAACGCCGAUAGCGAAGGCAGCUCGCCAGGCCUGCAUUGACGCUCGGGCACGAAAGCGUGGGGAUCGAACA
rnacentral:rRNA from 1 species